GGAUGACACUUUUCGGAGCGUAAACUCCUUUUCUUAGGGAAGAAUUCUGACGGUACCUAAGGAAUAAGCACCGGCUAACUCCGUGCCAGCAGCCGCGGUAAUACGGAGGGUGCAAACGUUACUCGGGAUCACUGGGCGUAAAGGGCGCGUAGGCGGAUUAUCAAGUCUCUUGUGAAAUCUAAUGGCUUAACCAUUAAACUGCUUGGGAAACUGAUAAUCUAGAGUGGGGGAGAGGCAGAUGGAAUUGGUGGUGUAGGGGUAAAAUCCGUAGAUAUCACCAAGAAUACCCAUUGCGAAGGCGAUCUGCUGGAACUUAACUGACGCUAAGACGCGAAAGCGUGGGGAGCAAACAGGAUUAGAUACCCUGGUAGUCCACGCCCUAAACGAUGUACACUAGUUGUUGGGGUGCUAGUCAUCUCAGUAAUGCAGCUAACGCAUUAAGUGUACCGCCUGGGGAGUACGGUCGCAAGAUUAAAACUCAAAGGAAUAGACGGGGACCCGCACAAGCGGUGGAGCAUGUGGUUUAAUUCGAAGAUACGCGAAGAACCUUACCUAGGCUUGAUAUCCAACAAAUUCUGUAGAGAUACGGAAGUGCUAGCUUGCUAGAAUGUUGAGACAGGUGCUGCACGGCUGUCGUCAGCUCGUGUCGUGAGAUGUUGGGUUAAGUCCCGCAACGAGCGCAACCCACGUAUUUAGUUGCUAACAGUUAGGCUGAGCACUCUAAAUAGACUGCCUUCGUAAGGAGGAGGAAGGUGUGGACGACGUCAAGUCAUCAUGGCCCUUAUGCCUAGGGCGACACACGUGCUACAAUG
rnacentral:rRNA from 1 species